UUUAUGGAGAGUUUGAUCCUGGCUCAGGAUGAACGCUGGCGGCGUGCCUAAUACAUGCAAGUCGAGCGAACGGAUGAGAAGCUUGCUUCUCUGAUGUUAGCGGCGGACGGGUGAGUAACACGUGGAUAACCUACCUAUAAGACUGGGAUAACUUCGGGAAACCGGAGCUAAUACCGGAU
rnacentral:rRNA from 1 species